AUGACUCUAUUGGCUGCAGUGAUCAUGUUUGGCCUCGCCCACCCUCACUGUCCUGCCCCCCUCCAGGGAGGGGCUGCUGCAGGGGAAGGCCACACUCGUGUGUCCUCAGACUGGAGGCUGAGCUGGAAGGUGGGUGGGAGCAGCUGGAGCUCGGGGGUUAGCCAGAGCCCUGGGCUUCUGCAGAAGGACGACGGCCUCUACAGCUGGAGCAGCACCCUGACCCUCCAGGAGGAGCAGUGGCUAAAGAACACAGUGACCUGUGAGGCCAACAAGGACUCCCAGCCUCCUGUCAGCCAGACACUGAGGAGAGAUCAGUGCUAA